UUAGUGUGUAUUUUUCACGAACAACAGCUCAUUUUGUUCUUGGGGUCGAAAUCCCCAAAGGCCUAGCUCGCAACAACAAAUAAUCGAUAGCUAUCGACCUUCACACCAUGUACCAAUAGUUCCUAACACUAGAAUCGAUAGAAAUCAACGUCUCACAUACUAAUUUUACAUGGACCAUCUCUACAGGCAUCAAAAGGUAAACAAACAACAAACAGGUAAAUAUUGGACGAGAUUAACGAAAAGUUACGUAUGGAUGGACUAGCCACCGCGCACUCAAACAUCCUAUGGCACCACCCAUUGUCAAAAACCUAGGCCACGGCAAGUCCGGAUAACGACCGGUUUAUCUCCCCUAGGGCAAAACUGCUACCCGGGCUUGGACCUCGGCCCCUUCAAGCCCGAUUUAAAAUCAGGAAAUAUGGCCUUAGAGAAGUGUAAACUUUGCGCUUGAAGCGGCUUAAUGGACACAUAAUAUUUCUCCUAAAUACCCUGCUGGAGCUCUAAGAGGACAAUAAGGGACGAAGAUUUUAACAAGAUAUCCCCUUGGCUGCUGGUCGAAAAAUUCAACAGAAAUUUGGGCCGAAAAUAACUUGGUCCCGUUUCUAAGUCGAUGUGAAAAUGGCGAAAGGUGGACCGGAGGACCAAGCCUUGCCUGAGCAACUGCGGACCGCGAAAAUAGGGAUGCCGCGUGUUGAAGAGCCCUGUGGUGAUUAGGACAAACAUAGGGAAGUUUAAUGGUCUUGGUAGCAGCUAGUGGAUGCUACGGCUCGUGGCAGGAAUCACAAAAGAAUUAAUAAGAAACUGUUAAGUGGCAUUGAUUUGUUAAAGAAUUUCCGUACACGACACUCGUAGAGUAAAGGGUACAUAGUAUUAGCUGAAAAGUAUAAGAACUGGUAGAAAAAACAUUUCUGACCCGUUGGUAAACAUAUAUAUUCUUUAUCAGGAUCAAAAGCCGAGUUGAUCUAGCGCUCCUUCUUAUUUUAUUUGUGUUAUUUUCAUUUUAACUUUUAAACAGUAACAGAUAUUUUCGGUGCAUGGUUAAAACUUUGUUUAGAUUCAAACCAAAGAAUUCGUCGAUACCAUAAAAUGCGUUCACUCAAACAAAUUUGUAUCAAAAAUCGCUUUAAAUACCCACAGAGUUCGCACGUACAUAUAUGUAGAAAAUGUAGGGUGAAUUUUCUUUAAUUCCUGUUGUUUUGAAUAUAAAAUAAGUUAGUUUAAGUUUGGUAAAAAAUUUUAUAUAUUAGUUAGUUUAAAUGAACAAUUAUUUUCCAAAAAAUCACCAUCUGUUUAUGAUUAGCAACAAAAAAUUAUUAAACUGGCUCCCUUAUCAAGGGAGUAAUCUACAGCAACUUAAAAAAAAAGUGGUUAAAUUAUUUACCAAACUAAAUACAGGAAAAAAACUGAUUACUGCAGACUUCAGUUUCUACUCUGACAAUUAAGCACCUGUUCCUUGAUUGAAAGAUGUUUAAAAGCACAUUCAGAUAGAAAAGUUCCUUUCCUAAGCAAAAUAAUUAUUGAUAAAAGUCCUAUUUUUGCAAAGCGACACCUAGACCGCCAAAAUUUAAAUAAUUUCCAGUGGUCUGAUUAAACUUUAAUAUUCGGGGCAGAUUUCAGUUUCUACUCUGACAAUUAAGCACCUGUUCCUUGAUUGAAAGAUGUUUAAAAGCACAUUCAGAUAGAAAAGUUCCUUUCCUAAGCAAAAUAAUUAUUGAUAAAAGUCCUAUUUUUGCAAAGCGACACCUAGACCGCCAAAAUUUAAAUAAUUUCCAGUGGUCUGAUUAAACUUUAAUAUUCGGGGCAGAUGGAAAAACAUAUGUAUGGCGCCCAAAAAAUACUGCUUUCGAUCCGAAGCAUACCAUUUAGACUGUUAAGCAUGGUGGCGGGAAUAUCAGCGCCUUUCUAUUAUUUUUUCCAUAUAUUUAUACAUAAAUAUAUAUAUAUAUAUAUAAAUAUAUAUGUAUACCAGUUGGUAUUGGACCAGUUGACAUGGUCCAAAAUACAUAUCCUCCUUAAAAACCGCAAAAGUGCCAACUGAAAACUAAAAAUGAUUAAAUAUUAAAAAAUACAAAAUAAAAAUGUAUAUAUACAAAUAUAUAUAUGUGUAUUUAUAUUAUGUAUAUAUAUAAUAUUUAUAUAAACUCGAUAAAGAGCACUACAUUUUAAAAAUAUCCGUAUGAAAGAACAAACUAAACCAAAACGAAAAAUGGCAAUCCCAUUUCAUGUUAAUAAAUCAAAUAUUUUAUCAAAGACACGAAAGAAAUUUUUCAGCGUCCAUGAUGAAAAUAUACAUAUUGAAAUCACCAAAAUCGCGAAAUGAUAAACCUCUGUAAAAACUCUGCUAAUAUAAGACAAUAAAACAUAUAAUAAUAGUCUCACAUAUUAUUUUGUUAGUGUUGCCAGCUUAAAAUCACAAAUAAUAAAGUCAAUAGGGGUUGAAUAUGACAUUUUAUUCAAUAGUUAGUUACUCAAAAUCGGUUUUUAAAUUAGUUUUAAAAAAAAACUAAAAGUAAUAAAAUUUACUGCGUAACUGAGUAAUAAAAUUAAUGGGCGUUGAAGCUUAAACGCAUCCCUCAUUAAAACACUUUUAAUAAUAAUAAAUAUAAAUUAAGUUGCCGGUGCUUUUGAUAGCGAGGAAACAUGAAUGCCUUCUCCCACAGUGUCCCACUGCUGUGGUAUUGGAGGAGCUGCGUUUUCCUGAGUGCAAUGUGCUCCCAACUCCCUAAUAAAUUGACGGUAACGAUGUAUAAGCGCAUCAUGAUAGUGGUUAUUUUUAAUAAUCCGUUCAGGGUUCGUAAAAUGAUUGCAACCAGUUGCGCCUUGUAUAAUUGAUCAAGUGGAAAAGUUCUGCAACUUAAGAGAUCCAGGUUAUACCAAGGACUGUGCUUACCGACUAGCGACCAUGCCGACAAAGUCGUCUCCAAAAUUUCAGUAAGGAACGGCUAAAUAUUCCCAAGUAUGUUGGAAAGAUGUAGAAUCGGUGUACAAAAAACUAUUCUUAAAAAAUAAAUGUACAAAACAAAAAAAUAUAUAUAUUAUAUAUAUGUAUAUAUAUAUUAAACAGUUCAAAAAUUCAGAAGUUUUUUAAUUUUUCGCUUAAUAUCAGCAGCAUCUUCCGGAGACGUUAGCUGAUUAAUAAUCUAAUUUCUGUGAGGUUCAUGGAUUCCUCAAUGUAAAGCCCAUCCUGUCGUACUUCAUCGCCUCCGGAAAACAAAAAGAGUGUUGUUCUGUUAAAAAUAAUAUAACGCUACCAAACUCUUGGAAACAACCUUCAGCCUGCCUAAGUCCGCAAGAAUUGCAUAUACAAGUUAAUCACAGAAAUAUUUCUACAUUUUUUCCGAGAAAUAUUGCAACAUUGUCGAUGGCAACAUUGCAACAUUUCAAUACAACGGUCAAGAGCCCGAAAGUUCAAUAACAUAAACACGCCAAGAACCCCCAAGUUCAAUAACAUAAACACACGCAUCCGGUCAGCAGCCACAGCGCAGUACCAAAAUGCCGAUUCUGCAAACCUUGCAGUUUCAGCCGCUCCACCAGAACUAGGCCACCGCCGCGGUCUCUUCCGCGACGUCGACGUCGCUGCCCCAACCCACAGCUUAGAUCAGGGAAUUUUUAAAUGAAUAAAAUCAGUCUCAAAUUGAACUCCGAAUAAAUCAAACGUUCAAAACUUA